rnacentral:rRNA from 1 species
GAUGAACGCUGGCGGCGUGCUUAACACAUGCAAGUCGAACGAUGAAGCCCAGCUUGCUGGGUGGGUUAGUGGCGAACGGGUGAGUAACACGCGAGUAACCUGCCCCUAUCUCUGGGAUAAGCCUGGAAAACUGGGUCUAAUACCGGGUAGGAGCGUCCCCCGCACGGUGGGUGUUUGGAAGAUUUAGCGGUUUUGGAUGGACUCGCGGCCUAUCAGCUUGUUGGUGAGGUAAUGGCUCACCAAGGCGACGACGGGUAGCCGGCCUGAGAGGGUGACCGGCCACACUGGGACUGAGACACGGCCCAGACUCCUACGGGAGGCAGCAGUGGGGAAUAUUGCACAAUGGGCGGAAGCCUGAUGCAGCAACGCCGCGUGAGGGAUGACGGCCUUCGGGUUGUAAACCUCUUUCAGUAGGGAAGAAGCGAGAGUGACGGUACCUGCAGAAGAAGCACCGGCUAACUACGUG